rnacentral:rRNA from 1 species
GGAGAGUUUGAUCAUGGCUCAGAACGAACGCUGGCGGCAGGCUUUACUCAUGCAAGUUGAACGGGAAGUCACCUUCGGGUGGCGGCGAGUAGCGCACGGGUGCGUAACGCGUAGGAAUAUACCAUAUAGUAGGGGAUAACCAUUGGAAACGAUGGCUAAUACCCUAUAGUCCCUUCGGGGUAAAGAUUUAUCGCUAUAUGAUUAGCCUGCGUUAGAUUAGCUAGUUGGUGAGGUAAUUGCUCACCAAGGCUACGAUCUAUAGCUGGUCUGAGAGGAUGAUCAGCCACACUGGAACUGAGACACGGUCCAGACUCCUACGGGAGGCAGCAGUGGGGAAUAUUGGACAAUGGGGGCAACCCUGAUCCAGCCAUGCCGCGUGAAUGAUGAAGGCUUCGGGUUGUAAAGUUCUUUUAAUGGUGAAGAUAAUGACGGUAACCAUAGAAAAAGCACCGGCUAACUCCGUGCCAGCAGCCGCGGUAAUACGGAGGGUGCGAGCGUUGUUCGGAUUUACUGGGCGUAAAGGGUGCGUAGGCGGAUAUUAAGGUCAGAUGUGAAAUCCCGAGGCUUAACCUCGGAACUGCAUUUGAAACCGAAUGUCUCGAAUAUGAUAGAGGAUGAUGGAAUUUCUAGUGUAGUAGUGAAAUGCGUAGAUAUUAGAAGGAACACCAGAGGCGGGGGCGGUCAUCUGGAUCAUCAUUGACGCUGAGGCACGAAAGCGUGGGUGGCAAACAGGAUUAGAUACCCUGG